CACUUACAAAGAAGUUUUAAACAAAGCUUUAUUUAAACAAUAAUAAAGCACAAAACAAGUUAGCAAUAAAAAUUGUUUAAUCAAAAUUCCAAAAAUCCAAAACAACACUAAAUAUAACCUUAAAUAAUAAUUAAAUCUACUACCUCCACUCUCUGAUAUGAACUCAAGUAAUUGUCGAUCUUAUAAGAAAAUGAAAAGUCACAAAUCAGCUCACUGCAAUACAACACACCUCUCUGUGUCAUUUAACACACACAUUUUUAUAGUAGUGAUUUUUACAGUGCCGAGUUUAUCUCAUUUACAUAAAAGUUGUGCAACAAGUUCAAGUUUCUUAGUUUACAGAAUAAUCAAUUCAUGUCAUCAUCUUUACAAUUAAUUAUGUACUGAAUAUAAAACAUCGAUCCGAGAUCAUUCUUU
rnacentral:lncRNA from 1 species